UACGUAGGCAGCGAGCGUUGUUCGGAGUUACUGGGCGUAAAGCGUGCGCAGGCGGUUGUGCAAGACAGAUGUGAAAUCCCCGGGCUUAACCUGGGAACUGCAUUUGUGACUGCAUAGCUGGAGUGCGGCAGAGGGGGAUGGAAUUCCGCGUGUAGCAGUGAAAUGCGUAGAUAUGCGGAGGAACACCGAUGGCGAAGGCAAUCCCCUGGGCCUGCACUGACGCUGAGACGCGAAAGCGUGGGGAGCAAACAGG
rnacentral:rRNA from 1 species